CUAGUCUGCUUUGGUCAGCUGUCUUAUAGAAGUUGCAGCCAUUAGAAGAUAUUGGGGAUUUGGGAGUAGAAAAAGAGCAUCAGUUCCAGAGAAAAAAAGAGCAUCAAGAUUUGGAAAAAAUAGAGAUAAAAAAAAAAUCACUGGGGUUCACCUGAAAAAUUGAUUUUAUAGGACAACUGCCACAAAAAAACAACACCAUGACGCAGGAAAAGCCUGAUGGCAAGAUAUUUAAUGAUUCCAUCCACGGCCACAUAGUGUUACGCCCACUUCUUGUCAGAAUCAUCGACACACCUCAGUUCCAGAGACUACGAAACAUCAAGCAGCUUGGGGGCGCUUAUUUUGUCUACCCAGGAGCAUCUCACAACCGCUUUGAACAUUCAAUUGGCGUGGGGUACUUAGGAGGAGAAUUUGUAAAAUCUCUACAGUCGAGGCAACCAGAACUCAAUAUCGAUGACAGAGACAUCCUUUGUGUGGAGAUUGCAGGUCUUUGCCAUGACCUUGGGCAUGGACCCUUUUCUCACCUGUAUGAUAGGAUGUUUAUCCCUAAAGCCUGCAGAGGAAUAAAGUGGAAGCAUGAGAAUGCCUCUAUUAAAAUGUUUGAUCACCUGGUGGAAGUCAAUAAAUUGGAGGAAAUGAGUGAUGAUAAAGAUGGACAAUCGCUGAAAGAAGACCGAGUCUUUAUCAAGGAGUUAAUUCUUGGACAUCCUCUGGAAUCUCCAGAAUUAAAUACUUCAUCUACACCGUGGCCAUACAAAGGACGAAACGAGGAGAAAUCUUUCCUCUAUGAAAUCGUUGCCAACAAGCUAAAUGGGAUUGAUGUGGACAAGUUUGACUACUUUGCCAGGGACUGUCACCACCUCGGCAUGAAGAACAAUUUUGACCAUCGGCGAUUAUUCAAGUUUGCCAGGGUGUGCGAGUAUAACAAACGGAGACACAUCUGCUUCAGAGACAAGGAGGUGGGAAAUCUGUAUGACAUGUUCUACACAAGGAACCUCCUGCACAGAAGAGCCUACCAGCACAAAGUAAACAAGAACAUCGAAAUUAUGAUUACAGAUGCCCUCUUAAAAGCAGAUCCCUACAUUAAGAUCCAAGGAUCUGAUAAGAAGAAAUUCACUCUCUCUAAAGCCAUACAUGACAUGGAGGCCUACACCAAGCUGACAGAUCAAGUGUUAGAAAAAAUAACCAACCCAGAUUUCGAGGAGCAAAAGGAAGCAAUGAAGGAUGCAAAUAAAAUUGUACAGAGGAUCUUCUCUCGAAAACUGUACAAGUUUUUGGGUGAAGCCAAGAAGCAAGAGGAACAGCCAGGAAAGCAAAUGGAAGUGAAAAUACCAGAGGCUACAACUGAAAGCUUGAAAGAGAAACUGAGAGAGGGGGAAGGUCGACCAGACCAAGAAAUCUUUGAAGUUGUUGUUGUCACUUUGGACUAUGGGAUGAAAGACAAGGAUCCCAUCAAGAACACCUACUUCUACAAAAAGAGUGACCAUAAGAUAGCAUUCACAUUGUCCAGGGAUAAGGUGUCCAAGCUUCUGCCAGAACGCUUUUCUGAGCAGAUCAUCAGGGUCUACUGGAAGAGCGACGAAGGGAGUUCAGAAGCUAAGAAGCGCUAUAUGUCAUGGUGUGAGGACAAUGGCUUUAAGCAUGACCAGUAAAAUACCGAUAAAGCAAAAGAUGCAGCAGAUGAAGGUUCAAAGGGGAUGCAGCAAUGUAAGAUUGUAAAGUGGCCUACACCUACACCUGUUUUUUCCUGAAAGAAGUUAAGAUUGUUCCAAGACGAAAGCAUCGUUGCAUGAGCAGGUUUUGUUCUGUCAUUUAAUGCACAUGCUCCUUUACAUGUUCUGUAUUUACUAUUAUUAUUAAUGUUAUUAAAUCAUGUUAUUCAUCACUGCUUAACACCAUAACAUGCAGUUAUAUUAAUCUGUUAUGAACUACAAACUCGACUAACUCUUGUCUUGUUUAUUUUAUUCUUAUAUUAGUCAGAGUUUUGCUUCCAUAAGCUGCAAACAGUAAGACAGCUGAUGGUGGAAAACCUUAAACCAAAGAAACAGUUUGUCAUUUACUGAGGUUUUAAACUUGCAUUUUGGGUGUUUUCAGUGUGAUGUGGGUUUUAUUCUUCUUAUUAUUAAUAUUAUUAAUAUAGUUACUUUUGUGUGAUUUAAAACAAUUAUAUAAACAAAUAAUGGGUUUUCAUGGUAUUUUACUAUGUUUCCAAAUUGCUUUUAAUUACUGAGGAUUAUUAAAGAGGUUGUCAUGGUUGGGGUUGUUUUAUUUAGUAGGUUAUUUAUUGUGACUUAAUCACCGUUCAUGUUGAUCUUUAUUGAUUAAAUGUAUUUGUGUGUUUUGGUUUUUAAUAGUUCUGCAUUUUCAAUUUCUGUCAUUUGAGUAGCAACUUGAAUCCACAUGCAAUAGAAAUUUAAUCCAUUUAUAAAAAUAAUCACUAGUAUAAUUAUUCUUGAUAUCACAGAUUUUCUUGUACUUAUAUCUAGUAGCUGUACUCACUUUUUCUUGAUUGUGACUAAGACUAAUUUGUUGUUUUGUUGUGUUUUACUGUGUGAAAAUGCAUUAUAUCUCAGUGGGAGGUGGGUUUAUUAAUAGGAGGUCAGUAGGAGUGUGUUCCUGUUUGUUAACACCUGAGUUGUCUGUUGGAAAUAAAGCUCCUUUUCUCCUU